UACGUAGGGUGCAAGCGUUAGUCGGAUUUACUGGGCGUAAAGCGUGCGUAGGUGGUUUCGUAAGUCCGAUGUGAAAGCCCUGGGCUCAACCUGGGAACUGCAGUGGAUACUGCGAGGCUAGAGUGUGUCAGAGGAUGGUGGAAUUCCCGGUGUAGCGGUGAAAUGCGUAGAGAUCGGGAGGAACACCAGUGGCGAAGGCGGUCAUCUGGGACAGUACUGACGCUGAGGCACGAAAGCGAGGGGAGCGAACUGG
rnacentral:rRNA from 1 species